rnacentral:rRNA from 1 species
GACGAACGCUGGCGGCGUGCCUAAUACAUGCAAGUAGAACGCUGAAGGAGGAGCUUGCUUCUCUGGAUGAGUUGCGAACGGGUGAGUAACGCGUAGGUAACCUGCCUGGUAGCGGGGGAUAACUAUUGGAAACGAUAGCUAAUACCGCAUAAGAGUGGAUGUUGCAUGACAUUUGCUUAAAAGGUGCACUUGCAUCACUACCAGAUGGACCUGCGUUGUAUUAGCUAGUUGGUGGGGUAAGGGCUCACCAAGGCGACGAUACAUAGCCGACCUGAGAGGGUGAUCGGCCACACUGGGACUGAGACACGGCCCAGACUCCUACGGGAGGCAGCAGUAGGGAAUCUUCGGCAAUGGACGGAAGUCUGACCGAGCAACGCCGCGUGAGUGAAGAAGGUUUUCGGAUCGUAAAGCUCUGUUGUAAGAGAAGAACGAGUGUGAGAGUGGAAAGUUCACACUGUGACGGUAUCUUACCAGAAAGGGACGGCUAACUACGUGCCAGCAGCCGCGGUAAUACGUAGGUCCCGAGCGUUGUCCGGAUUUAUUGGGCGUAAAGCGAGCGCAGGCGGUUAGAUAAGUCUGAAGUUAAAGGCUGUGGCUUAACCAUAGUAGGCUUUGGAAACUGUUUAACUUGAGUGCAAGAGGGGAGAGUGGAAUUCCAUGUGUAGCGGUGAAAUGCGUAGAUAUAUGGAGGAACACCGGUGGCGAAAGCGGCUCUCUGGCUUGUAACUGACGCUGAGGCUCGAAAGCGUGGGGAGCAAACAGGAUUAGAUACCCUGGUAGUCCACGCUGUAAACGAUGAGUGCUAGGUGUUAGACCCUUUCCGGGGUUUAGUGCCGUAGCUAACGCAUUAAGCACUCCGCCUGGGGAGUACGACCGCAAGGUUGAAACUCAAAGGAAUUGACGGGGGCCCGCACAGGCGGUGGAGCAUGUGGUUUAAUUCGAAGCAACGCGAAGAACCUUACCAGGUCUUGACAUCCCUCUGACCGCUCUAGAGAUAGAGUUUUCCUUCGGGACAGAGGUGACAGGUGGUGCAUGGUUGUCGUCAGCUCGUGUCGUGAGAUGUUGGGUUAAGUCCCGCAACGAGCGUAACCCCUAUUGUUAGUUGCCAUCAUUUAGUUGGGCACUCUAGCGAGACUGCCGGCAAUAAACCGGAGGAAGGUGGGGAUGACGUCAAAUCAUCAUGCCCCUUAUGACCUGGGCUACACACGUGCUACAAUGGCUGGUACAACGAGUCGCAAGCCGGUGACGGCAAGCUAAUCUCUUAAAGCCAGUCUCAGUUCGGAUUGUAGGCUGCAACUCGCCUACAUGAAGUCGGAAUCGCUAGUAAUCGCGGAUCAGCACGCCGCGGUGAAUACGUUCCCGGGCCU